UACAUAGAGCAACUCUAUUCU
rnacentral:snRNA from 1 species